UGAAGAACAGUCAAGUCUACGGCGCUGGCGGAAGAACACUAUUUCAGAUGUCAUCGUCGCGCUUCGGUUAUCGCCAAGCAAAAAUGUCUGCCUAAGGGAAACUCGCAAGUUACAUAGUGGAUAUUUGCAAUAUAAAAUCGCAAAACAUACCGAUUUCAUUAUCUUUCCGACGCGAAACAAGGACACCUACGCCGUCACUGGCACACCCGAUCGCCCUAGUUGGAUUUUUGACAACAAAACAGAUUUAGAAAAGGAUCGUAAGGAUGAACCCUCAGCAGCGGAUUGCCGCUAUCGGGACGGAUAAGGAACUGAGUGAUCUGCUGGAUUUCAGCGCGAUGUUUUCUCCACCUGUAAACAGUGGGAAAAACAGGCCGACCACUCUUGGAAGCAGCCAGUUCACCACAUCAGGUA